UAGUUGGUGGGGUAAUGGCCUACCAAGGCGACGAUCAGUAGCGGGUCUGAGAGGAUGAUCCGCCAUACUGGAACUGAGACACGGUCCAGACUCCUACGGGAGGCAGCAGUGGGGAAUUUUGGACAAUGGGCGAAAGCCUGAUCCAGCCAUUCCGCGUGAGUGAAGAAGGCCUUCGGGUUGUAAAGCUCUUUCAUCUGGAACGAAACGGUACGCUCUAACAUAGCGUGCUAAUGACGGUACCAGCAGAAGAAGCACCGGCUAACUACGUGCCAGCAGCCGCGGUAAUACGUAGGGUGCGAGCGUUAAUCGGAAUUACUGGGCGUAAAGCGUGCGCAGGCGGAUUGUUAAGCAAGAUGUGAAAUCCCCGGGCUUAACCUGGGAAUGGCAUUUUGAACUGGCAGUCUAGAGUGCGUCAGAGGGGGGUGGAAUUCCACGUGUAGCAGUGAAAUGCGUAGAUAUGUGGAGGAACACCAAUGGCGAAGGCAGCCCCCUGGGAUGACACUGACGCUCAUGUACGAAAGCGUGGGUAGCAAACAGGAUUAGAUACCCUGGUAGUCCACGCCCUAAACGAUGUCAACUGGUUGUUGGGGGAGUGAAAUCCCUUAGUAACGAAGCUAACGCGUGAAGUUGACCGCCUGGGGAGUACGGUCGCAAGAUUAAAACUCAAAGGAAUUGACGGGGACCCGCACAAGCGGUGGAUGAUGUGGAUUAAUUCGAUGCAACGCGAAAAACCUUACCUACCCUUGACAUGUCCAGAAUCCUGCAGAGAUGCGGGAGUGCCCGAAAGGGAAUUGGAACACAGGUGCUGCAUGGCUGUCGUCAGCUCGUGUCGUGAGAUGUUGGGUUAAGUCCCGCAACGAGCGCAACCCUUAUCAUUAGUUGCUACGCAAGGGCACUCUAAUGAGACUGCCGG
rnacentral:rRNA from 1 species